rnacentral:rRNA from 1 species
CCUACGGGAGGCAGCAGUAGGGAAUUUUGCGCAAUGGGCGAAAGCCUGACGCAGCAACGCCGCGUGAUCGAGACGCCCUUCGGGGUGUAAAGAUCUGUCAGUGGGGACGAAACUUGACGGUACCCACAGAGGAAGCACCGGCUAACUCCGUGCCAGCAGCCGCGGUAAUACGGGGGGUGCAAGCGUUGUCCGGAAUCAUUGGGCGUAAAGAGGUCGUAGGCGGCACGGAAAGUCUGGUGUUAAAGGCUGAGGCUCAACUUCUGUACGGCAUUGGAUACUUGCGAGCUAGAGUGCGGUAGAGGUAAAGGGAAUUCCUGGUGUAGCGGUGAAAUGCUUAGAUAUCAGGAGGAACAUCGGUGGCGUAAGCGCUUUACUGGGCCGUAAUUGACGCUGAGGAACGAAAGCGUGGGUAUCGAACAGGAUUAGAUACCCUGGUAGUC